rnacentral:rRNA from 1 species
CUUUCCUACGGGGGGCAGCAGUAGGGAAUUUUCGUCAAUGGGCGCAAGCCUGAACGAGCAAUGCCGCGUGAACGAGGAAGGUCUUCGGAUCGUAAAGUUCUGUUGAAGGGGAAAAAGAGCGGAGAGAGGAAAUGGUCUCCGAUUGAUAUUACCCUUCGAGGAAGUCACGGCUAACUACGUGCCAGCAGCCGCGGUAAUGCGUAGGUGGCGAGCGUUAUCCGGAUUCAUUGGGUUUAAAGGGUGCGCAGGCGGGCCUUUAAGCCGGCGG